GGGUCUCCUGGAGUGAACAACGAAGAAAUAGUCGUGUUCUGUAAUUUCCCCUGCAUUCAGCCUUUUUUUCAAACCCUUUGCAGCUGGAUUCCUCCCUCAGGAUCAUGAUCCACAUAUGUGAUUCCAUCCAGGGACUGAAUUAGGACUUCCAAGGCUGUUUUUUCCCUGCAGAACAAGGAACAGAAGUUAACAUCUGACGAUUUUAUAUUGGCUUUGCCAAGUGAACAAUCAAUCAGGCGACAGACUCUACAAAUAUUCCGUGGGUUCAUCAGGCAAAGUUCAGAAAUUUCAGAGAAACGACUUCAGAUUCAG
rnacentral:lncRNA from 1 species